rnacentral:rRNA from 1 species
UACCAGCACCCCGAGUGGUCGGGACGAUUAUUGGGCCUAAAGCAUCCGUAGCCGGUUCUGCAAGUCCCCCGUUAAAUCCAGCUGCUCAACAGAUGGGCCGCGGAGGAUACUACAGAGCUAGGAGGCAGGAGAGGCAAGCGGUACUCAGUGGGUAGGGGUAAAAUCCUCUGAUCCAUUGAAGACCACCAGUGGCGAAGGCGGCUUGCCAGAACGCGCUCGACGGUGAGGGAUGAAAGCUGGGGGAGCAAACCGG